GGAUUGGCAAGCACGUAAUAUAGGGGAAGAGAAGGCAAUGGUGUGACCCGAGGACACAGAUUGUGGACCCAGGCGUUCGUCCCUCUUAUUACCGUGCUUGGAUGCCAUGUGGCGGAUCAUGAUGGUGGUGCUCUCCUCAAGUUGCUAGUGUUCAUACCCCG